rnacentral:rRNA from 1 species
GGUUGACCUCGGAUCAGGUAGGAAUACCCGCUGAACUUAAGCAUAUCAAUAAGCGGAGGAAAAGAAACCAACAG